rnacentral:rRNA from 1 species
UACGGAGGGUGCAAACGUUGCUCGGAAUUAUUGGGCGUAAAGCGCACGUAGGCGGACCGCUAAGUCGGAUGUGAAAUCCCUCAGCUUAACUGAGGAAGUGCAUUCGAAACUGACGGUCUUGAGUACGGAAGAGGGUCGCGGAAUUCCCGGUGUAGAGGUGAAAUUCGUAGAGAUCCGGAGGAACACCAGUGGCGAAGGCGACACGCUGGGCCAUACCUGACGCUAAAGCGCGACAGCAUGGGGAGCAAACGGG